GUGGGUACCUACCCCGGGGUCCGGGAUAGCCGUCCGAGAGGGCGGGUAAUACCGGAUGACCUCGGGAGAGCAAAGCUCCGGCGCCCCGGGAGGGGCCCACGUGAUAUUAGCUGGUUGGUGAGGUGACGGCUCACCAAGGCGGAGAUGUCUAGCGGGUGUGAGAGCACGACCCGCGCCACUCGCACUGAGACACUGGCGAGACACCUACGGGUGGCUGCAGUCGAGGAUCUUCGGCAAUGCGCGCAAGCGCGACCGAGCGACGCCGCGUGGGCGAUGAAGGCCUUCGGGUUGUAAAGCCCUGUCGAGGGGGAGAAAAGCCGAAAGGUGUGAUCUAUCCCUGGAGGAAGCUCGGGCUAAGUUCGUGCCAGCAGCCGCGGUAAGACGAACCGAGCGAACGUUGUUCGGAAUCACUGGGCUUAAAGGGUGCGUAGGCGGGCUGCCAAGUUUGAGGUGAAAUCCUCCGGCUCAACCGGGGAAGUGCCUUGAAUACUGGCGGUCUG
rnacentral:rRNA from 1 species